rnacentral:rRNA from 1 species
UACCAGCGACCCCGAGUGGUCGGGACGAUUAUUGGGCCUAAAGGCAUCCGUAGCCGGUUCUGCAAGUCCCCGUUAAAUCCAGCUGCUCAAGCAGAUCGGGCCGCGGAGGAUACUACAGAGCUAGGAGGCAGGAGAGGCAAGCGGUACUCAGUGGGUGAGGGGUAAAAUCCGUUGAUCCGAUUGAAGACCACCAGUGGCGGAAGGCGGCUUGCC